rnacentral:misc_RNA from 1 species
AGCAGCAACUCCGUGUUGGGAACUAUUAGCGGGUCGCAAAAGCUGGUCUUUUCGUUCGGUGUAUCGCGAGAAGGUUAACCAUGUCGACACACAAGAAGAAGACCAGAAAGUUACGUGGGCACGUGAGCCACGGUCAUGGACGUAUUGGUAAACACCGUAAGCACCCUGGUGGUCGCGGUAAUGCCGGUGGUAUGCACCAUCACCGCAUCAACUUCGACAAGUACCAUCCAGGGUACUUUGGAAAGUUAGGUAUGCGUAACUAUCACUUGAGAAGAAAUCAAAAGUUUUGUCCAACGCUUAAUUUGGACAAACUUUGGACCCUUGUAUCCGAACAAACCAGAUUGAAGUACAAAAGUGCUGAUUCUGAGACUGAUAAAGUUCCAGUAAUUGAUCUUGUCAAAGCUGGAUAUUACAAACUUCUGGGAAAAGGUAGAAUACCAAAACAACCAGUGAUCGUGAAAGCUAAGUUUUUCAGUAAAACAGCUGAAGAUAAAAUCAAAGAAGCUGGUGGAGUCUGUGUACUAAGUGCAUAAAUCAUUAGGUAACUAUCUUAACCUACACAAUGACAUUCUUCAAACAUCUCAUUGGCAAUAAAAAAAUUUAGUUCAAAAAAUCAAAAAUUUUCUUUUGAGUUACUUAUCUUUUAUGAGCUCAUCUUCAAUGCAAAUGCAAUUUUUCAUGGAUUUUGUAAAAA